CGAAAUAAAGCAGAGAUUACACCUCGUACCUUUUGCAUUAUGAUUUAGCAAGUACACCCAAGCAAAAAGCAUUUUAGUUUGGCCCCCCGAAACUAAGUGAGCUACUCCCAGGACAACCUAUAUAACUAGGGUAAACCCGUCUCUGUGGCAAAAGAGUGGGAAGAGCUUUGAGUAGAGGUGACAGACCAACCGAACUUAGUAAUAGCUGGUUGCUUGAGAAACGAAUAGAAGUUCUACUUUUUAUAUUCUUUUUCCACCCCUGCUAAUUAAAGCCCACCCACAGGUACAAGAAGAUAAAAAGGUUAACCAAAGAGGGUACAGCCUCUUUGGAGAAAGAUACAACUUUAUAAGAAGGGUAAAGAUCAUAAUUCCCCCAAGGUGUCACAUUCCAGUAGGCUUGAAAGCAGCCACCGCGAAAGAAAGCGUUAAAGCUCAGACGUGCUAUACCCCCUAAAAUACUGAUAACAAAUCCUAACCCUCUAAACAUACCAAGCUGUUCCAUACAAACAUGGAAACAAUAAUGCUAAAAUGAGUAACCAGAGAGUAAACCUCUCUCCUAGCACACGUGUAAAUCGGAACGGACCCCCCACCGAAUCUCAACGGCCCCAAAAAAAGAGGGAACUAGAUAACAGACAGCAAACUAGAAAACCAUCCAAAAUUCAACCGUUAACCCUACACUGGUGUACUUUUAAGGAAAGACUAAAAGGAAAAGAAGGAACUCGGCAAACACAUCAAGCCUCGCCUGUUUACCAAAAACAUCGCCUCUUGUUAAAAUACACAUAAGAGGUCCCGCCUGCCCUGUGACUACUAGUUCAACGGCCGCGGUAUUCUGACCGCGCAAAGGUAGCGUAAUCACUUGUUCCUUAAAUGAGGACCGGUAUGAAUGGCAUAACGAAGGCUUUACUGUCUCCUUUCCUCAGUCAGUGAAAUUGAUCUCUCCGUGCAGAAGCGGAUAUAUUCCCAUAAGACGAGAAGACCCUAUGAAGCUUCAGACGCUAGAACAGAACAUACUAACUGUUUUUCAAACAAACAAUAUUUAUUGAAUCACUGUUCCCCUGUCUUUGGUUGGGGCGACCCUGGGGAAAGAAAAAACCCCCAUGUGGACUGGGAACUCUACCGUUCCCUUAACUAUCGAGCCACAGCUCUAAUACACAGAAUUUCUGACCAAAAGAUCCGGCAAAGCCGAUUAACGAACCUAGUUACUCUAGGGAUAACAGCGCCAUCCCCUUUGAGAGCUCCUAUCAACAAGGGGGUUUACGACCUCGAUGUUGGAUCAAGACAUCCUGAUGGUGCAGCCGCUAUUAAGGGUUCGUUUGUUCAACGAUUAAAGUCUU
rnacentral:rRNA from 1 species